rnacentral:rRNA from 1 species
GAUGAACGCUAGCUACAGGCUUAACACAUGCAAGUCGAGGGGUAACGAGAGGAAAGCUUGCUUUCCUUGUCGACGACCGGCGCACGGGUGAGUAACGCGUAUCCAACCUGCCCCCAACUAGGGAAUAACCUUGCGAAAGUAAGACUAAUACCCUAUAAUUUCCUCAGAUGACAUCUGACGAGGAAUAAAGAUUUAUCGGUUGUGGAUGGGGAUGCGUCUGAUUAGCUUGUUGGCGGGGUAACGGCCCACCAAGGCAACAAUCAGUAGGGGUUCUGAGAGGAAGGUCCCCCACAUUGGAACUGAGACACGGUCCAAACUCCUACGGGAGGCAGCAGUGAGGAAUAUUGGUCAAUUGGCGGAGGCCUGAACCAGCCAAGUAGCGUGCAGGAUGACGGCCCUAUGGGUUGUAAACUGCUCUUAUACAGGAAUAAAGUUAGCCACGUGUGGUUAUUUGUAGGUACUGUAUGAAUAAGGACCGGCUAAUUCCGUGCCAGCCGCCGCGGUAA